UAAGUGUCCCCACCUGCCCUUUCCCACACACCUUGCAGGCAAGCUGUGGUGCCAUGAGACUGCCUGGUGAUGGACAGACCAGCACAGGAGACGCGUCACUGCAAGAGCCCCCCUCAUACCCUCCCGUUCAGGUCAUCCGGGCCCGAGUGUCUUCCAGCAGCUCCUCUGAGGUGUCCUCCAUCAACUCAGACCUGGAGGUACAGGGUCUGCCUGCGGGCGGGUGCAGGGGUGUGUCGCUCACCCACACUCACCCUGCCUCCUCGGGCUUGCUGUGCUCUUCUCUGAUCUUGCCAGUGAACCUCACCCUGCUGUUAAAGAAUGCGCCUCUGCACAGCUGCCAGUCUGCCUGCUGCCAGUCUGCCUGAGGAGCUUCCCAAACCAGCUCGGGACUAAGAAGAAGGCCCCAUGGUCAAUCUGGUCAGGGGAACACUGGGUUUUGGAGUCUAGUCAUCAGGGAUCGCUUGCACAUUUGAGUCUACAGAAGCAAAUGCACAAAUAAUAAACUAGUUUUUAAAGUCUCAAAAAAAUCUUAAAAGCUAGGGGUGUGGCUUGGUGGUAGCGCACUUGUCUAGCGUACACCAGAUGCACCAGGCCCUGUUCCAGCCAUUGCAAAAAAAAAGAAGAAAGCCUUUGUGCUUCCCCAGCCCAUUUGACCAUGGAAGCUUUUCUUUGUCCCAGGGAAUGUCAGCUCCUCCUGCCGUGCCAGCACACAGGUUGCACACUUUAUUUAGUACCUUUGCUUCAUUUUGUAUCUGUGAGCAAAACUCAUGUCCCAUCUUGGAUGCACAAGUCUCAUGUCUGAGUUGUCCCAUAACUAUGGUUUCUGGCCCCAUUCAACGAGGAAGUUUCCAUUUGUCUGAGGAAAAAAAGAGAAUGAGGACGAUGUGGUGGUAAUGGGCAUGUUGGCAGAAGGGGGCCAGCUGUCUCUUUUUGGUGAGGGAAGGACUGUCUUUCUUUCUGAUUUUGUGUUCUUCCAUCUUUUUUGGUGUUAAGUGCCCUUUUUGAAAUGAUGGUAAUAAUAGGUGGUAGUUAGGGUUGAGUUUUUGGUUCGGGUUUGGUUCCUACCCUACCUCACCCCACCCCCAGUACUGGGGACCAAACCCAGGGGUGCUCUGCCACUGAGUUGCAUCCCCAGCCCUUUCUAUUUUGGGACAGGGUCUUCCUAAAUUGCUGAAAAUGGCAUUGAACUUGCUUUCCUCCUGCCUCCAGAGUUCUGGAGAUUACAGAUGAGUGGUGCUACACCUAUUUGGUUUGGUUUUUAAUGGCCUCAUUUGGCAAAACAAUCAUUAUCUAUUCUAAGUUCUCAGAUUUAUCAAACUUAUACUGGACCCUGACAUCCAAAACUCAGAGCCACUGAUUUGGGAUGAAGUCCAGUUCCUUGGUGUGAUGUUCUAGCCCUUCUCCAUUUGCCCAGCCUCCUGUUCUUCCCUGCCCUCACCCAGCUCUCUGACCUGACCGUGGACUCUUCUUUGUCCCCAGGCCUUUGGGCCUCAUCUUUCUAGCCCCAUUUCCACGGUUCAUAAUCCUAUCCAGAUGCCACCUCCUGGGAGAAACCACCCCAUCUGUGGCCUCUUCCACUGAGUGCCCAGAACACACAGUCCCUUACACACCUGUACUUUGGAGUGUGCGUGGUCUGGUGAGCUGUGGAGUGACUGUCAUCUUUCUCUAUUCCUCAAUUCUGGAACACAGUGGGCAUGAAGAACUGGGUUGGUGUUAGGACUUCUGUACCCUUUGGGUCAUAUUUCUGUGUCAGUUCAUGUCAUAUAUUUCUUUUUUUUUUGUUUUUUAUUCUAAUUUGUUAUAUAUGACAGUAGGAUGCAUUACAAUUCAUAUUACACAUAUAGAGCACAAUUUUUCAUGUCUCUGGUUGUACACAAAGUAGAAUCACACCAUUCAUGUCUUCAUACAUGUACUUAGGGUAACAAUGUCCUUCUCAUUCCACAGUCUUUCCUACCCCCUCCCUUCCCCUCCCUCCCCUUGCCCUAUCUAAAGUUUUCCUUCCAGGUCCCCCCCCCCAUCCUCAUUAUGGAUCAGCAUCCUCAUAUCAGAGAAAACAUUCAGCAUUUGGCUUUUGGGGAUUGGCUUGCUUCACUUAGCAUAAUAUUCUCCAACUCCAUCCAUUUACCUGCAAAUGCCAUGAUUUUAUUCUCUUUUCAUGCUGAGUAAUGUUCCAUUGUGUAUAUAUACCGCAGUUUCUUUAUACAUUCAUCUACUGAAGGCAUCUAAGUUGGUUCCACAGUUUAGCUGUUGUGAAUUGUGCUGCUAUAAACAUUGAUGUAGCUGUGUCCCUGUAGAUGCUGUUUUUAAGUCCUUUGGGUAUAAACCAAGGAGUGGGAUACCUGGGUCCAAUGGUGGUUCCAUUUGAAGUUUUCCAAGGAAUCUCCAUACUGCUCUCCCUAUUGGUUGCACCCAUUUGCAGUCCUUCUCCCCCACAUCCUCUCCAACACUUAUUGUUGUUUGUCUUCAUAAUAGCUGCCAUUCUGACUGGAGUAGUUUUGAUUUGCAUUUCUCUAAUUGCUAGAGAUGUUGAACAUUUUUUCAUAUAUUUGUUGAUUGAUUGUAUAUCAUCUUUUCAGAAGUGUCUGUUCAGGUCCUCGGCCCAUUUAUUGAUUGGGUUAUUUGUUUUUCUGGUGUUAAGAUUUUUGAGUUCUUUAUAUAUCCUAGAGAUUAGUGCUCUAUCUGAUGUGUAUGUGGUAAGAACUUGUUCCCAAUUAGUAGGCUCUAUAUUCACCUCACUGACUGUUUCUUUUGCUGAGAAGCUUUUUAGUUUGCAUCCAUCCUAUUUGUUGAUUCCUGAUUUUAUUUCUUGUGCUAGAGGAGUCUUGUUAAGGAAGUCAGAGCCUAAUCUGACAUGAUGAGGAUUUGGGCCUACUUUUUCUUCUAUUAGGCACAGGGUUUCUGGUUUAAAUUUUAAGUCCCUGAUCCACUUUGAGUCCAUGUCAUGUAUUUCUUGGAUCCAGUCUCAGAACACGUGGGACACCCAGGGUCCACAGCGGUGUCUGCCAAGGCCUAAGGCUAAGGGAGAAGGAAUAAUCUGGACACUGAAUUCAUUAAGGAGAAGGGACAGGAAGGCUGCUGAGGGCAGGCUCGGGGGAGAGGCGGGCAGCAUUCGCUCUGUGGAAACAAGCGUGUCUUGCUGCCCACCCUCGGCUGAGGCGAGAACUGAAUAGGGAAACUGAAAAUUCCGACAUCUGUCCUUGUGGCUGGUUUGGCCAUUUCUCUGUUUUGCAGUCCUUGUUGUUUUACUCUAUUUUCUCUCCAUUUUUAUAAAUCUGUUGUUUAAAAUAUGUCAGUUCCUAGGAUACAGGGUCACACUCUUAAAUUAAGCAAGUGGAAAUGAUGCUUUUGUCCAUGGUAAAAGGAACAGUCAGAAGCCCAGUCCCCCCGGCCUCUCCCCUGCAGUCUUUCUGCUUCACACCCUAAAACAUAAAUACACUGUAGACAGGCCACCAGGGUCCUUCCUAUAAAGAGAUAACCUCACCUUAACCACACACACACUAGCGGAUCAAAUGGAAUUGUGACGCUCCCAGUAUUGAUUGUUUAGUGUGCGAGCAGGAGGCUGUGGAGCUUUCUUCGGGUGUGUGAUCCAUCAGGGCUUCUGUUUUUAAAGUAACACCGCUCACCUGUUCAGGAGGCUGAGGCGAGAGGGUCGCCUGAGCUCUUCAGUUUGAGCCUGAGCAACCGAGUGAGACCCUGUCUCUAAAUAAAGAAAUAAACGUAAUACAUGUUUUUGGUAUAAAAUUUGGAAAACAAAAAAAAGUAAAGAAGAAAAUUAAGCCCACUCAACCAAUGUGGGACUGGGCAUGAUGGAUAUGCCACCUGGGUUUUGGAAGUAGUAUUUUUGGAGAUCCUGGUUGGCUUGUGGAGAGGAGGGGCUCAGCAGAUGGUUAACAAGUCCCCCUCAGCUGGCCAUCUGCUGGCUCAUUCAGCAGAUGUGUUCUGAAGGCCCAAAUUGAAAGGGAGAAUACCUGAGGACACAUAGGCCCCAGCCUGCCCAGCCUGCUUGGUAAAUUGGCCACAAUCUGAUCCUCUGCCUCACGCACACUCCUUUUAGGAGUGUGACAAGAUGAAACUGUAGAAAUCAAUGUCAGGGCUUAGGUAUUACUUCUGUGGUUUGUGACUUCUCUUGCAGAAUUCACGUAUUUCAUGGUGUUGGACUCAGGUAACCUAGGGCAUCUCUCCCCACUCUUGCCUACCCAUGCCUCUGCCCUCUGCCCUGGACUCCACUGAGGUUGGCUUCCGUGGUCUGCCUCUUACUGACCUCCUGGGUUUCUCCUUGACCCUUUGGGUUGACAAGUGAAUGCUUCCCGACUCCCACUGUCCAGGCCCAGGGGCCUGGGAGCUAUUCUGGACUCAGAGGUGAUGUGUCCAUCCCCUAAGGUCCUUGAUCAUCUCAUAACUGACCUCUGAGGCCAGGUUUUGAUGUCAUGUUCUCGGCCGUGUGCCCCCUAUCCUGAGCACCACAUCCUGCGGUGCGCAGGGGGAGUGGGGGACAGGCGGGUCUCAGCAGCACAGCGUCUCCACACACUCAGUUCACAAAGCGUCUCCAAAUCCAUUCGCAAGGAAGUAAGGUGCUUGCCAAAGUGCUGGGCACGGGGUGGUACAGUGAAGACUCACCAGGACUUUGUAUAAGCAGCCCUGAAGCAGGAGACUAGGAGUAGAGGAGUUUAAUUAGCCACACGAAAAUGAGGAGAAUAAGGAAAGAAAGGAGAAGAGAAGGCAGAUCUGGGGUUUGAACCCAGUGUCAUCCACUCUGAAACUUCCCACGUUGCCCACUGCACUCCAGUGCCUUGAAGGGACUAGUACCCAGGGGGCUUUGCAGGCCAUGUCUGUUAUCCAUUAUUCCCAUUGAAUGUCCUAAGUAACAGAGGGUAAAACAUUGGGAUUUACAAAUAAAUCCAGGGAGGAAUGAGACAGGACCAUGGAGGGACAGCUUGGAUUGUUUUUGUCUUUCUUCAAAGAUCCCACGGGCUGGAUCGACCAGGGUACCAGAUGAAUGGUUUAAGAGCCCCAGUGAGACCAACAGCCAUGUAGAGAGGCCAUUUGCUUGGGCCCUGUAGUUUCCAGAUACCUUCCAGGAGGUGCACCCUCCGCAGACCGUAGAUCCACUCACUCAACCAUCACCCACCCGUCCAGCACAAGGGCCGCCUCGGUCCUGGCAUAGCUGUCCAAAGGGUGCACUGAACAGCUGCUGACAAAGGGUCAUUGUAACCCCAGUGGUCAGGAGUUCAAAGCCAGCCUCAAUAAAAGCAAGGCACUGAGUGACUCAGUGAAAACCUGUCUCUAAAUAAAAUACCAAAUAGGGCAGGAGAUGUGGCUCAGUGGGUGAGUGCCCCUCAGUUCAAUCCCUGGUACCCCCCGCCAAAAAAAGAAAGGGUCACUGAGCUCAUGGAGUCCGAGUCCACAAGUGGGAGGUCAAAGAAAAUAGUAGCAGGGCUUACAGGAGUGGCCUGUCACUUUCCAGGAAGCCAUCUGAGUGCAGGGCCGACCUUCCCCAGCACCGGAACUGCUAAAGAUGUGUGUGUUGUGUCCCCCUGUGCUGACCUAAAGCACGGUGAGGGUGUGAGUGUAGAGACUUGGGAAACUGCAGAGGACCCAGCACUGCUGCUCCUGUGGUGUGGCUUUCGAUGGCUUCUUAUUCUUUUCUUCUGUCUUUUAGACUGUGGGAUUCUAGAACACACAGAGUCCAGCCUUGUGACCAAAGAGUGUUUAUGGCAGUGAAUUAAUCUGUUCCUUCUGGGUUCCCAGCAAUGGCACAGGCCUUCUGUAAGCUGUGUAGGAAUUCUGUAAGGAGCUGUUUCUGUCACUGGCACAAAGUGUGCACAGCAAAGAUGUCCAGGACAGGAGCUUCUGCAGCCAUGUGUGUGUGUGUGUGUGUGUGUGUGCACAAGGGUGCACAUCGAAUGCAUGCAGCAUUGUGUGUGUGUGGCAUGAGAACAGGGCUGAACGCCAGACUGCUGUGUCGGAAGAGGGUCAAGUGUCCUCACUAAUUCUGUGCCUCAGGCUCUUGGUAACCAAGACUGCUUAUUCUGUCUCCAAACCACAUUCAGAACCAGCUGACCAGGACAGAUUCCCUUGGACAUGUGCCAUUCUUAAAGCCAAAUCAUUCUUUUAGGAGAAAAAGACAGAGAAAUGACUAUGAAAGUGCUAAGUUUAAGCCGAGAGUGGCGGCACACAGGUGUGAUCUGAUUCAGGAGGCUGACGGGAAGAUCCCAAGUUCGAGGCCAGCUUCAGCAACUUAGCAAGACUCUGUCUCAAAAUAAAAAACAAAAAGAACUGGGGGUGUAGCUCAGUGGUAGAGUACCCCUGGGUUCAAUCCCCAGUACCAGGGCAGGUUGCCAAUUUUAGAAGAAAAUUUAUGUAAGCAUGAAGAAGGAAAUUAGAACAUGCCAAGAGGCAGCAAAGGUCAGGAAUCAAGUUAAAGAUGUGGCUUCUGCCCUCCACAGGUCUUUUUCCUUCUUGGGGAGGUGAGGGCACCUGCCCUCAGAACCAGCACAACAUAGUCCAUCCUGAAACGUGUGGGGCAGCCGGUUCCCCUUGGGUGGGGAAAAGACUUCACUUGCCCCAAGGGGAACCUGGGCUGUGUAAGGGAAAGAACAGUGGCCCAGGAGUGGGGUGCAUGCAGGGGCUUGUCUGGGGCUUGGGCCUGCACAGGACUUCUCAAGUUGUAGUUUCUCCCUCUGUAAAUGGGAAUCAUGAGACCCGGCUCCCAUAUGACAGAGGGACUGGAUGGGUCCAAUGGGAGUGCUGCCAGCUCUUUGCAAGAUUACCAAGGCACCACACUUGUUGCCAUGGAAAAUGCAGAAGGCGGAGGGUCUGAGCUCAGAUACUGGCUCUGGCCUGUAUGGCUGAAGAACUGGGCACCACCCAUUCAUUUUUCAUAACCUGGUCUGGAAUGGAGAUGAUGAGCCCCAGAGGGUAAAGGAGGCUUGGCCAAAGUCAGAUGUGAAGGAGCUUUGAAAUGCAACAGAGCGCUGUCCACCCAGAGGCCAUGGUGAAACUCCAGCUUUGGACUGGGCCAUCUUCAGGGCCCACCUCGCAACAGAACCCUAAGUGGAAGGUGUAUUUUGGAAGAGGCAGGCAGAGGGUGAUUAUGUGGGUCAGUUCUUGGACAGGCUUCUCUCAGGAAAACAAAUGGGCAACUCAAAAGCAUACUCUGCCAGUGUCCUUGCUAACCUGGUUGCUGAGUCUGCUUAGCUCCACUCAGAACCCUCCCCGCCUCUGUGGUCUCUAGAGUAUUUCCAAUUCCACUGACCUGGUAGGCCUUUCCUUCCAACCCUGGGGUAUUUCCAAGGACGCUGUGUCCUCUCAAUAAAGGAGGUCUGUCCACAGGGGUCAGAACUUCACUGUCACUGAUCCUGCUCAGGAAAGACCUGUGCAGACCUGAAUGGAGAGGGAUUUGCAUGGUCAAACCAACCAGCCAUGGGAUCAUGUUUUGCCCUUGCACAGAGCACUUCAGGGCCUCUGGAACAUUUCCCUUCUUACAUCCCAGUUCUUUCCCUCUACAACAUCCCAGGAAGGAAGAGUGAGCAAGAAAUAGAGCAGGUAGGGAGGAGGAGAUACAGCCCGUUGGGGGGGGGGGGUGAAGCCCUGGGUGAUGCAGAGUACGUCCAUGGUGUUGGCUAAUUAGACAAUAUUUAUAAUUGGGUUUUAUAUAUUUAAUAAUUUGUGUUUAUGUAUAUUGUAUAAUUUGUAUAUAUUUAAUAAUUUGGGUUGUAUAUAUAUAUUUUUUUAAUUUCUUUUAGUGGUUGAUGAACCUUUGUCUUAUUCGUUUAUUUAUAUACAUGGCUGAGCAUCGAACCCAGUGCCUCACACAUGUGAGACAAGUGCUCUACCACUGAGCCCCAGCCCCAGCGCUGUAUAUUUAUAUAUACUUUAAAAGUAGGACUGGCGUGUAGUUCAGUGGCAGAACACUCACCCCGUUGGUCAUGGCCCUGAGUUCAACCUCCAGCCCACCCCCCAAUAUAAAUAAAUAAAUAAUAAAAAUAGAGAGAUGUGGUUUUUUUUUUUUUUCUGUAAUGUUUUAAAGGGACUUGGUCAAAAGGCAGUUGGUUUAAUGGAAUCUGGGAGAGCUGAAGCUGGUGUGUAGUUGGCCAUGAAAACAUUAUGACCUCUGCCAAGUCUAGCACCAUCUCCCCUCCCAGCCUUGGGGAAGGUCAUUUCUCCGCAGAUGCAGGAGGAAGGAGCUGGACAGAUGGUCUCUGAGGAUCCACCAGCUUGAAUUUAAGACAGUGACUCUUAUUUCCUCAGUGACUUAGCCACACCUCCUAUUCCUCAGGAAUGAAAGAAAUGUUGCCACACGCUGUAUAGACCAGAGCUGCAGGGUGCUGCUCCCACAAGCAUGGGAAAGUGAGCUUGUAGAGAUGAAGUGAAUUGCCCUGGGUGCUGGCCCAUGCCUGGAAUCCUAGUGGCUCAGGAGGCUGAGGCAGGAAGAUCACAAGUUCAAAGCCAGCCUCAGCAACUUAGCAAGGCCCUUAGCAACUUAGAAAGACCCUGUUUUUAAAUAAAAUAUUUUAAAAGCUUAGCUGGGGAUGUGGCUCCAUGAUUAAGUUCCCCUGGGUUCAAUCUCCAGAACACACACAAAAAGAACGAAGUGAAUUGAAAUGCCACAUGCUGUGGCUCACAGAGACGAUGGUCCUGGACACAAGUUAAGAAUAUGUGGAGCCAGCUGGAGCAGUCCCAGCUACUCUGGAGGCAGGAAGACAACUUAAAGCCCAGAAGCUGGAGGCCAUCCUGGGCAACAAAGCAAGGACCCAGCUCAGGAAAAAAGGAGAGAGAGAGAGAGAGAGAGAGAGAGAGAGAGAGAGAGAGAGAGAGAGAGAGAAUGUGGAAAUGCUUGUUAUAUAUAGUGGGAGAAAAACUAUGUGAAUAAUUUAAUUAUAUUUCAUUAGAAAUAUAUAUUAUUAUAUAUGUUUCAGAGGUCUGUUUAGUAACAGUUCAUAGAAGUGCUGUUUUAGGGAUAGAAUUAUGGAACUUGUGUUUUUUGAAAAUUUAUCUAUGAUAAACACAUUUUUGCUUUUUUUUUUUUUUGGUUCUGGGAGUGAACUUGAGAUGUGGCGGAGGGAGCACUGAACCGCUGAAUAACAUCCCCAGCCUUUUUAGUUUUUAUUUUGAGAUGUGGCCUUGCAGAGUUACUGAGGCUGGCCUCAAACUUGUGAUCCUCUUGCCCCAAUCUUCCAAGUAGCAGGGAUUACAGGAGCACAUCACUGUGCCUGGCUUACAUUUUGUUAUUCAAGCAUGUAAAAGACUAUAAAAUGUUAUUUAUACAGUUUUGGGGAGAUGAAGAGACCUCACUUAAAAAGACUUGGGGUAACUGUCCCUUCAGAUAUUAUCAUAAUUCAUUUGAAACAGUUUAACAUAAAAAAAAAAAAAAAAAAAAAUCCUGACUACUAUCUCCACUAGAGGGCACUCUUCUCCAAUUGCUGGGGGUUUAUUUAUUUAUUUAUUUUUAGGUGUGAAUGGACACAAUACCUUCAUUUUGUUUGGUUUGGUUCCUUUUUUUUAAUGUGGUGCUGAGGAUCAAACCCAGUGCCUCACAUGCAAGGCAAGUGCUCUACCACUGAGUUACAACCCCAGCCCCGAUGAUGGAGAUUUUUAAAGGCAGUUCUAAAGUUUUACUUCAAUCCACUUGGGGAACUCAAAACCUAUUUAUGUUUGCUUUCUUAUUUGUUUGGCUUUAAAUAAACUUUUUAUUUUGGAAUAAUUUUAGGUGUACAGAAAAGUUUCAAAAAUUAGUACAGAAUUCCUUUAUGCCCUUUGCCCAAUUUCCCUAAUAUUCGCUUACAUAACCUUCCUACAUUUAUCAAAAUUAAGAAAUUAGCGCUGGUACAUUACUUUUAACUAAACCACAGGUUUUGUUUGGAUUUCACCAGUUUUUCCACUAAUGUUCUUUUUUCUAUUCUAGGCUACAAUCCAGGACACCAUAUUGUAUUUAGUAAUUUUUUUAAAUAAACAAAUAUACACUAACUGUAAUAAUCAUAAAUUACCAUUUACAUUUUGCAUGAAUACCUGUAUUUUCCCAGAAAGGUGAAGGUUAGUAUUUUUAUUUAAUUUCUCUUAUUAGCCACCAGGUGCAGUGGUGCACACCUGUGAUCUCCACAACUCAGAAGGAUGAGGAGGCUAGCCUCAGCAACUUAGUGAGACCCUCACUAAUGUAAUAAGACUCUGUCUCAAAAUUAAAAAAUAAAAAAGACUGGGGAUGUAGUUCAGUGGUAAAGCACCCCUGAGUUCAACCCCCAGUGGAUAAAUAAAUCAUUUCUCUAUUUCCAUGACCUUUGUAAGUUAUUGAACUUUUUCAACCCCUACUUUACAUCAUCCGCAUUUCUGUUUUUUUGUGGUGCUGUGGAAACACCAUUUAUGUUCAGUUUAUGUUCCUGCAGCAGAUGUCAGCAAAAGAGUAAUGCUAGCUGGGGGUGUAGCUCAGUGGUAAUAAGCAUGUGCUUAUUAACAUCUAUGAGACCCUAGUUUCAUCCACAACAUCCCACCCCUCAAAAAAGGUGAAUGCUGGGGCUGGGGUUGUGGCUCAGCGGUAGAGCGCUCACCUAGCACCUGCAAGGCCCUGGAUUCCAUCCUCAGCACCACAUAAAAUAAAUAAAUAAAAUAAAGAUACUGUGUCCAACUACAACUAAAAAAUAAAUUUAAAAAAAAAAGUGAAUGCUAAGGAAUUGCCACUGGUUUUGCUAGAUAUAAUCACAGCAUUAUGCUUAGAACUUUUAAAAAUGAGUCUUUAUCUAUGAGAUACAUUCUAGAGUAGUUACAAAUGAAAUUAUUUACUUUAAAAUACUUUAGCAAAUGAAAAGAUUUGGGCACUAGAUCAAAUAAAAUGGAUUUAUCCAUUAGUGUUCAUUAGAUUACUCUUUUACUUUUCUGUGUGAUUGAAAGAAGCUGUUUGAAAUGAAAAUUUGAAGGAGUUGAACAGCAGAGUCUUUGUUUUCAUGUGACAAUGACCCCAGAUCUUGUGCACAGUUCAUAUUGGCAGCUAGUAAGGUUAACAGAUAUUUCACAGAUCAGCCUAACACGUCUGCAGUCCCCAGCUCUGUGUCAGAAAUACAGGGCUCCCAGGCUGCACAGGCGCGCUGGAAGAGGGAGCGCUGACCUUGGUGCCCGUGCUCCAGGAACUUGAGUCAGACAUACUUGAGGCUUGGAGUAGAACCAACCCUGCAGUAAAUGCUGAUUAAAACUGAAUCUUGGCUGGUAGCAAACACCCCGUAUUUCAAGGUGGGGAUUUUAUUUGCAUCUCUCUUUCUUAGUUUUAUGGGUUUGUGUUGAAUCAUCUCAGCCAUGUGGUUAGCUUUAUUAUUAUUAUUACUGUCCCUAAUAACACUAAUUUAUAGUAAUAUUAAUUUAAAAAUCUCUACAGUCAUUUUUCCCAGGGCCUGCAACCCUUUUUAGUAAUCGUGAUUAUUCUUUUGAUCAUUUAACUAACCUGUCACUGCUAAUAACUGCUGCUUUUCUGCUUGCUGAAAUUGGCUGUCCCUUUGCCUCUAAACCAUCUGAGGGUCUGUCUCCUGGCUCCCUGAGCAGAUGGGCUGGCACUGAGCUCUGCUCUGCUGUGCUGUGUGAUGAUAGCAAAAUCAGUCCAACAUUUUUCUGUCUCUCUUUUUAUCCUGCAGCAGAAGUAUUGGGAGGCCCUAAACUCGGAGCAGGUAUGGACAAUCAUGCUGUCUCUCUCUUCCAGGAGGGACUUCUAUGGCUUGAUUUCAGCUUUUGUUUUUGUUAGAGGCUCUCGGAUGAUGGCACAUGACAAAAUCCAUUAAAAAAAAAAAAAAGAUGUAAAAAGCAAGAGACAAGUUUGAGGACUAGCCGGGCUCUCUUAGUUCAGAGUCUUUUGCUUUGGGGGUAUUCACAUAAGCCCAUACUAUCCACUAGGGACUCAGAAAACAGGCAUAACCCAGUGAAGAUCCAUGGAUUGGAACAGGGCCUGCCUAUGAGCAAGCGAGAGUUGCCGUAGGUCACCAAUGGUAGUGCUGGUGUGACAUGGCUGCAGCAGCUGAUAUGAUAAACAGUUCCACACAUUUGUCUUUCUGAGACCUGGGGCACCUGGUUGCUGUCACCAUGCCAUCUUUGCCUCGCAGUAGCAGAUGAGCACGUGUUUUAUGACAACUGCCUGUGCCUGUCAUCUCCCAGGAUGGUUUCUGAGAGGAGAAUAAAUGCAUUAUCUUUUGUUCAAAUUAUUUUUAUGACUGGUUUCCCACAAUAUUUUUAUUACUUAAAGUGAAGUUUUAACUGGGCACAGUGGCACUACCUUUAAUCGCAGUUACUUGGAAGUCUGAAGCAGGAGGCUCACAAGUUCAAGUCCAAUCUCAGCAAUUUAGCAAGACCCUGUCUCAAAAUAAAAAAAUAAAUAAAUAGGGCUGGGGAUAUAGCCCAAUGGUAGAACAUUUGCCUAGCAUGUAUGAGGCCCUGGAUUCAAUCCCGAGUACCAUGCGGGAGAAAAUGAAGUUGGUUUUUUGUUUGUUUGUGUUUCCUUCCUUCUUUUCUUCUUCUUUUUUUUUUUGUACCAGAGAUUGAACCCAGGGGCAUUCAACCACUGAGCCACAUCCCCAGCCCAUUUUAUUUUUUAUUUUGAGAGAGGGUCUUGUCAAAUUGCUGAGUGUGGCUUUGAACUUGUGAUUUUCCUACUUCAGCCUCCAAGCCCCUGAGAUUACAUAUGUGGCAAUAAAUGAAGUUUUAAAACAUAUUAUUCAAAAGAAAGGGAUUUAAAAUAUUGUCUAAUACCUAGUUCAUUUCAAAGAGUUCACUUGAUCAAAGUGGCAGGUUGUUUCUGUUUGCGAGCAGCUGAUUUGGUCAGGAUUAGCAAGAAUAACUUUUAAGAAGUCAUUUCAGCAGUUGGAGCCAUAGUUCUCAAACAUCAGAGCAUCUAAGAAAUAUCAUAGGAACUUGUUAAAAUGCCAAACCGCAGGUAGGAGCUGAGGUGAGUCCUCAGCAUCAGUCUUUUUGAACAGUAGCCCAGGUCCUUCUGGUGGGGUUGGUCCAGAGUACCUUCUGAGAACUCUGAUGUAGGACCCAGGCUUCAGCUCCAAAACAGCCUUCAUCAGAGAGCACACUUCCAUCCUCUGAGAAUGGAAUGGGCCCAUACUUGUGCCACUGGGCAAGUGGGUCACAGAGGCUGGCCAGCGAGCUCUUUUACUUGGAAUCUUUGAUAACAUCAGGGAAGAAUUUACUUAAAGGUGUCCAGCCAAGUCUAUAACCACAAGUAAAUAAGGAGUUCACACCAGGAGUGGCUGUUACAGCGGGCAGAACUGCAUCAACUAAUCCAGCUCAUCCCCAGGCCUAUAGGGUCACUGGGGUCUUUUUAACAUGAUGGCUUUUUAAAUCAUCAAGUAAUAGAAGUUGGUUGAAUUAUUAUCAGUGAAUUUCUAAUUGAACCAGCUUUUCUUUUCAAAACAGAGACAUAAUGUGUGUUUUAUAACUGGCAUGACAUGGAUGUUAUUUGGGAGACCUUAUUUGGGACCUCUAAGAACUAGACUGUUUGAUUCAGCUCAAGUUUGAACAUCUGGCAGAGUGUCUUUGUCAGACAUAAAUCUGGGGUCUAUGACCUCUGUCCAAAUACAUAAUCCAGCCUAGUCUGCCACAUUUUCCAUCACUGUUGCUUGUUUCUGUGUUUCCCAGUACUGUCAAAUGUGACCUCAUGGCUCAAAAUCAUCAGUCAUAGAGGCUCAGAAAUGGAAGAGGUCUUAUUAUCUAAUUGUUGAUCCAACCCUCAGCUUAUGUACAGAGAAACUGAGGCCCAAAGAAGAGCAAGCAAGUUUGUGACAGAAGGAAGACUUGGCCCAGUCCCCACUUGCCUCUGGAGCUGUAACAUCAAGGGUAGCACUAAGAAUCCCUUGGGUCUUGACCAUGUGCAAAGUUCUCUCUCUAAUCCAUCAUCUGCAAAUACCUUCAUAAAGGCUAUGUUCCAGCUUUUUUUUUUUAACUUUUUACCCUUACCCUUGAAAAUUUCAAUUUUCCAUACUUAUCUGAGUCAGAUUAUGAAAUAUUAACUGGCAGUGCCCACCAUUCUGAAUUGGGUUUUAAGUGUUUAUUUUUUCAGUGCCAGGGAUUGAACCUGGGGGCACUUAAACCACUGAGCCACAUCCCCAACCCUUUUAUUUUUUGAGACAGGGUCUUGCUAAGUCUCUUAGGGCCUUGCUAAGUUGCUGAGGCUGGGUUUGAACUCAUAAUCCUCUUGCCUCAGCCUCCCAAGCUGCUGGGAUUGCAGACAUGCACUUAUACCAGGCACAGUGCCUGAAGUGUUUAUUUUUAACAAAUCUUCUGGACCUCAAAUUGAGAGGAAACACCAAGUGAGAGCCCUGCUCUUCAGGAGUUCAUCAUCUCCCUAAGAGAACAAGGCAGAUGUCCAAAGAAAGACUGAGGCCAUCCAUGUGCAGGUACGGAUGAGUAGCAGAUGUAAUACUAAGAAAGGAGCAGGUGCAAGCUCACUGGGCUAACACAGCCAAGGCAGGCUUCCUGCCAGAGGAGGUAUUUCCUCUCAAGAGUGGGUUGAGGCCAGGUAUGGUGGCACUUGCCUCAAUCCCAGCUACUCAGGAGGCUGAGGUGGGAGGAUGAAAAGUUCUAGGCCAUCCCAGGCAACUUAGCAAGACCUUGUCUCAAAAUAAAAUACAUAAAAUAAAAAGAGGGGCUAUAGGUCACCAGCAGAAUGCUUGCCUAGUACACAUGAGGCCCUAGGUUCAAUUCUUAGCAUCACCAAAAAACCAAAGAAUGGGUUUUUAUUGGUCUUUUCCAAGAAUGAAUUAGGCAUGGAGGUAGACAUUUUCAAGAUAAAGGGAUCGUGUCUCAGACUCACUAGAUAAGAAUUUGCUGAAUAUGGGGGACAGUAGAAAGGAGGUGGCAAGGGAAAUGGGGCUGGUCUGUUCAGGGUAAUGGUUCAUUAAUUCCUUGAUUUAAAGGUGUACUUGCUCCCUUUAGGUGCAGGAAACAGAGGCCUGGUUAACUUGACCUCGCCCAGUUGUCCUUAUCUUUGCCUGUGUCAGAACUAAGAUUGAGUUGUUGUUUAGGGUGCGGGAUAGUAAUAGAUUGAAAGGACCUGUCCCACCAAAAUAUCUUUGUGUCUUUUCUUCACAGUGGGAUCCUGAAGAUGUCAAUUUUGAAAGGAACAAUGACAACAUGGAGACCUUCAGAUUCCAGGUGCCGAGGGGCUCUUCGACGACAGUAGACUUCAGCUCUGCUGAUUAGUAUCUUCUAAAAACCAGUCCAUCAGCUCAAAGACUAGGAUGAGGCAUUCAUCAGUAAAACUGAGCAGAGAUCGGACCUACAGUGACACCCAUAGCAGGGAUUUAAGCCACUGAAGAAGCUGCCCAGGGAAGUGAGGAACCUGGAGCUGAGCGUGGCUGGUUUACCUGGCUCCGAAUAAAUCUAAGAUUGUGGGUUCUAUGGACAGACCUGGAUAUGCCAUUUGUUCUGAAGAUUAGAAGCUCACAGAUGGCUCCUGCUUUGUAAAGAUAAGCCUUCAUCCAAAGGACAAUGGGCCCUCUUUUCCCGUCUUUCCUUUCCCUCUAUUCCCAUGAAAUGCAACUGUAAACUCAGUAUCUGCUGGAUGCCAGGAAUGAGUUCACCUAACAAAUAGCUCAUGUGUUUGGACCUCAGCAGAGCCUGUCCUGCAAGCCCUGGCUUCUGCCCUCCAGUAUCUGCUGGAAGUUAUCCAUAGGACUGCUUGGUCAACCAAGUAUCUGUGAGAUCAGUGGUAUGGCAAGCACAAGCAAAAAAACAAAAGAAUGGGUUUUUAUUGGUCUUUUCGAAGAAUGAAAAGCAAGAGAACUUCCUCCAGCCUGGCAACGCGUGUGCGGAGGCAGGGUUUACAGGUGAGGGGCACUGUGUGCUUUAGGAGGUCACUGAGAGCAUACAGAGGGUAAUAGGUAUGCUGGGACAUGUUAAUUCAAGCACAGUAACCCCAUUUGAAGAUGAAUGGUAGUGUGACCACAUGUGAGGGGAAAGGUGAAGGGAAUGGGGCUAAGGUCGGAACCACUAGAGUGAAUAAAAUUUAACUGAGUGAAUCAAAGCAUCUCACACUGGAAUAUAGUGGUAAGUCAGAAUCCCAGCAGAGCCACAGAAGUCUGCCAUGAG
rnacentral:lncRNA from 1 species